rnacentral:sRNA from 1 species
CCGAGAGACCAAAAGCCAACGAUGCCGACAGAUGGCAGCUCUUCAAGCAUCUAAGUCCUCAAUGUCCAAAGCUGGCUUCACUCCUCCGGACGGUCUUGAGGCAUGCUUCAUGGAAUACAAGUCCAAGUAGACUUCUCUGCAACGAAAAUAAACCUUUGGCCACAAAUGUUGCUGAAUAUCCACUACCCAAGCACUCCAGAGGAAAGCAAGGUCUAGCCUGGGCUACAGAGUGAGUAAUCAGUGGGAGCGCGGAUUGUGGACUU